GAGACCUGUACUCUCUAUUGCUAACAACAUCCUCGGAUGGAUUGAGCACUUUGAGAGGACUGCCCUGGAAACAGGGAGGAAGGUGCAGGCUACGGUAGGUCUGUAUGCUCCGAAUGCUCUAGGCUACACGCGCGCAACAAUGAUAGGGACAAUGGGAUGCCACUCCGAGAGGAGGAGCUAAACCUCUAAACCCUAUCCUAGUACAGAUCGAGGCUUGUAACUCAGCCUCGUGACGCUGGAAUCCCUAGUAAUCGGAUUUUAUCAUAGUCCGGUGAAUAU
rnacentral:rRNA from 1 species